rnacentral:misc_RNA from 1 species
UCACUGUCACUUGGCUAUUCUUAUUGGAGUGCAGAUCAUAUAUUAAAGCAGAUUCUGCCAUCUGGCCUUGAUGUACCAUCAUCAUUUGAGACAAUAGGUCACAUUGCUCAUUUGAAUAUAACUGAUGAUCUUCUUCCUUACAAGGAUGUGAUUGCCAAAGUUAUUUAUGAUAAAAACUACCCCAGGAUCCAGACAGUCGUAAAUAAAGUUGGAACCAUUACCAAUGAAUUUCGUGUGCCG